rnacentral:lncRNA from 10 species
CUCGGCUCCCUGCAAUCUCUGCCUCUCAGAUUCAAGCGAUCUUUCUGCCUCAGCCUCUGGAGUAGCUGGGACUACAGGCCCCCAUAGCCAUGCCUGGCUAAUUUUUGUAUUUUUAGUAGAGAUGAGGUUUCACCAUGUUGGCCAGGCUGGUCUUGAACUCCUCACCUCAAGUGAUUCGCUUCCUUUCUUUCUCACUCUUUUUCUUUCUUUCUUGCUCUCUCUCUUUCUCUCCUUCCCUUCUUUCUCUCUCUUUUUCCUUCCUUUCGUCCC